GAAUUCGUUGCCUCGUCUCUCCUCGCCUCUCCGGCGGUGAUCUCGGGGAGCGAGUUUGUUCCUUGCUUCGUCCAGACGAUCGCUAAAUCAAAUCGAAGCGAUCGAUCAUGUACGCCUCGAGGGAGUGAGCAGUGGGAGUGCUUGGGAUGGCUCGAAGUGACCAAGGAUGAUGGAAUAGCAGUUCCUAGCAGGCAGUAGCGGCAGUAGUGGAAGCAGCAUCAUCUACAACUUUCCAAUGGUUCAUCUGAUUUGGAUACAUGUCAUUUGUUGCUGGUGGAAGCAGCAUCAUCUUCAACUGUGACAAUUUGGAUAUCAGCCAUUUGUUGCUGAGCUUUUACAAUGACAGCAUGCUGGUGGACAAAAAGGGUUGCUUAUUGGGUGAGGCUUUUGUUGUUUUUCCUCAUCCAUGCAAGCUGAGUUCCCUCUCCAGAGGGACAGAGAGAACAUGGGCCGUAGGUAUGUUGAGAUCGAAGUCCUGGCCUGAUGCUGUCAGCUGAUCAUGUUAUGAGAUCAGGUCCCAGUUUGCCAUCGUAUACCUCCCUAUUUCAAUUCCACCCACCCUCAUCUUGACGUUAACCUGUCUCCUAAACUAAACUCCUCUGAUGCAUAACAUUACUUGCCUUUUAAGUUCUUUUCAAAUACAUUGACUUGGUUUCUCUGACAA